AACCUCAAAACCAAACGAACUCGGGGACAAAAAGGACCGUUAAAUACAUACCGCUCUUCGUUUGAUUUCUCAAAACAAUUGACGUAUUUCUUCUGCUCAUUUCCUCCGGCGGAUCAUUACCCUUUGGUCUGCACAUCGUCGUCUCCAAUUUCGCCUACAGAUGGAUUGGCAAGGGCAGAAGCGUGCGGAGCAGAUGAUGCAGAUUAUGUUGCUUGCAUUUGCCGUGGCGGCCUUUUCGACUGGCUAUGUUAUGGGAUCGUUUCGGAUGAUGAUCUUGGUUUACGCCGGCGGUGUGAUUCUCACCACAUUGAUUACUGUUCCGAAUUGGCCUUUCUUUAAUCUCCACCCGCUCAAAUGGUUGGAUCCUGGUGUGGCUGAAAAAUACCCUAAGCCGCAGCAGCCGGAGCCUGCGGUUUUGAAGAAGAAACCAACUAAGAAGUACGUCUGUUUGAUUUGACUUUGUUCUCGUAUUAACACACAGUUUGAACCGUUGGAUUCCUAAUGUCCCCAAAUUCCUGAUACAUACAUUUCUCUUUUUUGGUUUUCCGCUAUUGAUUUUCAGUUGAUUGUUAAAAUAGAUUAAAUCAUCAUAAUUUUAAGUUAAUUGUCUGCUUUUCU